rnacentral:rRNA from 1 species
GACGAACGCUGGCGGCGUGCCUAAUACAUGCAAGUAGAACGCUGAAGGAGGAGCUUGCUUCUCUGGAUGAGUUGCGAACGGGUGAGUAACGCGUAGGUAACCUGCCUGGUAGCGGGGGAUAACUAUUGGAAACGAUAGCUAAUACCGCAUCAGAGUAGAUGUCGCAUGACAUUUGCUUAAAAGGUGCAAUUGCAUCACUACCAGAUGGACCUGCGUUGUAUUAGCUAGUUGGUGAGGUAACGGCUCACCAAGGCAACGAUUCAUAGCCCAGCCGACAGGGUGAUCGGCCACCCUGGGAAUGAGACACGGCCCAGACUCCUACGGGAGGAAGCAGUAGGGAAGCGUCGGCAAUGGACGGAAGUCUGACCGAGCAACGCCGCGUGAGUGAAGAAGGUUUUCGGAUCGUAAAGCUCUGUUGUAAGAGAAGAACGAGUGUGAGAGUGGAAAGUUCACACUGUGACGGUAUCUUACCAGAAAGGGACGGCUAACUACGUG